UACGUAGGGUGCAGGCGUUAAUCGGAAUUACUGGGCGUAAAGGGCGCGUAGGCGGCCUGUUAAGUCGAACGUGAAAUCCCUGGGCUCAACCCAGGAACUGCGUCCGAUACUGGCAGGCUUGAAUCCGGGAGAGGGAUGUGGAAUUCCAGGUGUAGCGGUGAAAUGCGUAGAUAUCUGGAGGAACACCGGUGGCGAAGGCGGCAUCCUGGACCGGUAUUGACGCUGAGGCGCGAAAGCCAGGGGAGCAAACGGG
rnacentral:rRNA from 1 species